GACGAACCGUGCAAACGUUGUUCGGAAUCACUGGGCUUAAAGGGCGCGUAGGCGGGUGGUUAAGUCAGGGGUGAAAUCCGGCAGCCUAACUGUCGAAUAGCUUUGAUACUGGCCAUCUUGAGGGGGGUAGGGGCAUGUGGAACUUCCGGUGGAGCGGUGAAAUGCGUAGAUAUCGGAAGGAACGCCGGUGGCGAAAGCGACGUGCUAGGCCCUUUCUGACGCGUGAGGCGCCGAAAGCCAGGGGAGCAAAGCGGGAUUAAGAAACCCCGAGUACAGUCCGA
rnacentral:rRNA from 1 species